GGUGGGGGCAGAGGGGAGGUGGAGGGAGAAGGGAAAUGACCAAAGGAGAGGUAGAAAGAAGCGCGGUGGAGUAGAGGAGAGCGGACACAGGGCUGCAUUUCUUGAAACUGCUGGGACUCUGAAACCUAAUCACCGGGCAGGAGGAGCUUCGGGGCACUGCCCUCCCAGUGGAGGGCACUUCGGGAAUGCAGCCGCUCCCACCGCCCGUGCCAGGCCCUCUGGCUCUGCUGGACACCACAGAGGGCUUUGCCAGGAGGAAGAAGAUCUCUCUGUGGUUUGUGGGCUCUCUCCUGCUGGUGUCUACUCUCAUCCUGACCAUUGGCCUUGCUGCAACCACCAGGACAGAGAAUGUGACUGUGGGCGGCUACUACCCAGGGAUUAUUCUGGGCUUUGGGUCCUUCCUGGGAAUCAUUGGUAUUCACCUGGUGGAGAAUAGAAGACAAAUGUUGGUGGCAGCCAUCGUGUUCCUCAGCUUUGGGGUGGUGGCGGCGUUCUGCUGUGCCAUAGUCGACAGCGUGUUCGCAGCGCGGCACAUUGAGCCAAGGCCUCUCAGUGCGGGAAGAUGCCAGUUUUACUCCAGUGGGGCUGGGUACUUGUAUGACGUCUAUCAGACAGAGGUCACCUGCUACUCUUUGAAUGGUCGAUGCCAGUUGAAGGUGAGGAGCAACACGUGCUACUGCUGCGACCUCUACGCCUGUGGGAGCACUGAGCCCUCGCCUGCCUACUAUGAGUUUGUGGGCGUGCGUAGCUGCCAGGACGUGGUCCACCUGUACCGGCUGCUCUGGGUAUCCACAGUGCUGAACGUAUUGGGCCUGUGCCUGGGCAUUGUCACAGCUGCAGUCCUAGGGGCCUUCAAGGACAUGGUCCCUCUGUCUCAGCUGGCCUAUGGCCCGUCACCGCCACCUCAGAUUCUCUAUAACCCUGCACAGCAGAUUCUCGCCUACACCGGCCUGUGUCCUCCGUCUAUGGGUGUGCCAACCUGUUCCUCCUACCCUCUGCCGCUACAGGAACCAGAACUGUGGACAGAAGCAUAGGACAUCAUUCUAGCUUGUGAUAACAGGAACAAAUCCCCAACGCUGGUCAAUCAACUUGCUUUAAGCUGAGCCAAAGAAGCUGACAUCUGACAGGAGAUGUGACUGUACUUGCCUGGGAAGGGACUCCUAUCAGGGUGACUAAGGACAGGGUGACACCGGUGUGCAAAAGCCAUGUCUGCAUUUCCGGGUGCAGGCAGAGAGCUGAAAGAGGGUUUUGCCCACAUGAUGUGUAGUAGGGGACAUACCUCACACCCCACGGACUAUUUAACUCUCUAUAAUGUGUACAUGUAUUGUUCAUUAGAAACAAAACCGAGAUGCACUUUGUUAAAAAGAAAGUUAAAAGGGCAAGAAGCUGACUGGGGAGGGUCGGACAGCUUCUCCCUCAGCAGCCUUACCCCUGGCUACCCAGCACAUGCUUCAGGUGAAGCAGGAGGGCACACUUACUCUGAACACAUUUGGCGAAAUCUGGGUUUUUUUCUUCAGGCCUGCCAUAUUUUCUCAUGCACUCUGCAAGAAACAGACAACACAGUCACUCUUCAUUCCUGGGGUGGAGCAGUUAUCCAAAUUGGGGCCAGAUGACAGUUUCUUUUCAUGCGGACACCGUGGAUCUCCAGUGAGUGCAUGCCAAUCUGUCAGUACGGAGUGCCUGGCAGGGACAGCAGGAAGGUGUACCAGUGUGACCGAACACCGGGCCCAGACCGGUGAGUGCUGGAAUCUCCCACCAUAUAGACCAGCAAAAGCUACAGUGCAAGUGUGAUUAGGGCCAAAGCUGAGCUUCAAGAUCACGAUGGUUCAGGCAGAACUAAGGGUACUGUUCUUAGUCUGCAGGCAGAAACACUCUUAAGGCACCUUAAGCCUGGAGGGCACUAGAUCUGGCACACAAGUGUGUUCUUCAAGGGGAGCCAGGAGAUUGACAUUGGAACAGAUACAACACGUGAUGGCCGUGUGUGCUCAGCCACUCUAUCUGGUCCUUCAGUAGGCCACAUGUGGGAAGGCAGCAUGGACAACAUAAGCACAGUUAGGAUGCAUGUGUAGGUUAACAGAGAGAUGGCCCAAGGCUCUUGGGCUGGUGUGGGGCUUCAGAGGACACCCUGAGUAAAUGUGUAUUGUGACAUGGGCACAAUUCGCUGAAGACUACAACGCCAACUGACCCAUGGGAAAUUGGUAAAGCCAUUACCCCCACGGGCCAGGAUCAAGAGGAAUGGCAAAGCUUUCUUGGGAUUCUGAAAACGAGUGUUUACAAAUGAUGGAUCAGUGUGUAUAAAGACUAGCGACUGUGGUCUCUUCCUCUCAUGUCUACAGCCUGAUAUCUACAGAGACUUCCUACUGAGAUUAGCUAGCCCUUCCCCUGCGUUUUAGCUAAUAAAUAGAUUGAAGUGCUGGGUCAUAGUCUAUGUCUUGGAGAACCCCAUGAAUCCCAGCUUGACUGUAUAUGUCUGUCAUUUCUUUAUUCUCUUGUCUCCUCUAGCCAAUAUUGUGGUACCCAAGCCUGGAGAGUCACAGCAGGCUAGUCACUGGUCUCCUGUGCUGUUGCCAGAUAGGAUUUAUAAGCAGGUGCCUGUGGAACAGAAGGCCUCCUUGGAGGAACUCACCAGCCGGGCUGAAGCUGGAUAGCUUCCAUGGCUGCCUGAUCAGACUACAUCUGAAGGCAGCUCAUGUCCCAAAAGACAAAACCCACACAAGAGGACAAUGCUGGAUGCACGCAUUAUCAAGACGGAGAAACAUCUGAGCCCAAAGCAGGGUGCAGGUAAACUGACAUCAUUUCCUGUGAUUGCAAACGGGAUGGCCCAACUGCCAGCCCAUGCCACACAACUGGGAAGGUUCUAGAUUAUUCUGCACAGUAAACUGCGGCUGCCACCUGCAGAACACCAUUCUCACCUGUGUCUGUAAGUCCUCUCAGACUCUUAGAGGCCAAGACAUCUCUGCCUAGCGAAAUGAGGCAGUGGAAUGGCUUUUUUUGUAGUCGGGGGAGCAUGUUACUAGCAUCCUCAGUUUUGACUUCUCAUCAUACAUGACAAGCCCACCACAAACUCUCUUCCACAGGCAGCAUCGGGCUUACAGAAUGCUCACACCCGUGCCUCUGCCCUAUGGCUGCUGACUCUCAUAGGCCAUGGGUACCUAGCUGUUUGCUGCUUCAUAGACAGGCUUUGUGGAGUGCACACUCCCAGGGAACUCUGAGCGUCAGAUGCUCAGGGUGGUGGAAACACAUGUUCUACCUCACCAGCUCUGCACACAGAGCGUUACAGUUGAAGAUGUACACAGUACUGCUCAUCUGAGUUUGGGGAACAUUCUAAGCACAGACAAGAAGACAUAGUUUCGAGGGAGAGCUUUCAAAUUCUGGGGACACCUCCGCAAGGUAUUUCACCUAAGAUGUCCCUUCUCUGCCAAGAGUCCAAAUUCCAACUCUCAGGUCUCUUUUCCUGAGAAGACACCCCUUUCUUAUUUUUCCCUCCCCACACUGGGCCUCGUUCCUCUUGUCUAGUAUUCUAAAAGGAAAUGGGAUGGGAGGUGUUCUACCUGCCCUGGCACUGGCCUUCCCCGAGCUGUCCUUGGAGAACCCACCAUGUCAGGACAAAUGUCCUUAGUGGGUAGACAUGGUUUAAACAUGGUCACCCAGGUCCCAGACCCUUAGAACUAACAGUGCCCCAAAGUCCCAUGAGAGUACAGCAGUAGCAGCAGAGAAGGGUCUGGGGGGCAGGCAGGGAGAAUGAAUUAGAGCCACCACUGAAAGCUGAGACACAGUCAGGGAGGGAGGGGGCGGAGGGGGGUCUCUCAUUCAGCUUCCGGAGUAUUAAUCCCCGCAGCAGCCAGCCAACCCACUAUGAAUCUUGCAUCUUAAAAUUUAAAAAGAAGGUGAGAAUCAGCAACCAGGCCUGAGGUCUUCCUUCCUGUACCAAAGUAUGGGGCAGAGGCUCCAGCUGGGAUUAACUUCUUGAUUAGGAACCUCUAGAGGCCAGCAUCCUAAGCUGGGGAGCAGCCUUAAGGCUUAGGUAUAUUACUGAAGAGUCUGCAGAAAGGAUCACUUGGGGCAGAGUUACAACCUCAGGGCCUCUCUGGAAUUAGCAACUGGGACAGGGAACCCAGCCAGUGAGAAGGAAGUGCCCGGAAGGGACAGUAACAAUAAAAAGGGAAACCAGAUAACAGAGAGGCUGUGGUGGAGAGAAGGGACAGAGAGAUUAGACGUGGCCAGGGCUGCCACCACAGGGGAGCUGCCACCGCCACUGAGGAAUGCGGGUGGAGGCACACAGUAGCUGUCUGGAUCCUGCAUUUCCUCCCCAGAGAAAGUCAGGAAGAAGCUACCAGUAUCCGCCCACUGGAGGGCUCAGAUCUGGCCCCUUUUUUCCUAAUGUCAGAAGAAAUGCUAACUAAACAGAGCCAGACUCUUCCCAGACAAAGUGAGAAAACAAAACAAAACAAAACAAAACAACCAUGUGGUUCAUCAUGUGGGAGUCGGCCUGUUUCCAGCGAUCUAGGCCCACCCAGUAUGGAGGGCAGGACCACACUGUCAUCCCCUCCCUGGGGGCCCUGGAAAUAGCAGAUAUAAGGAGCAGGUGUGCAUCAGCUACAGUUGGCCAGGAUACCACUCGGAGCCACAGGAGGCUGGCUGGUCUACUCCAGCACGGUAUGUCCACAACAUCAGGGAACACACAACAGGGUUUUAACAAGUACUGAGAGCUUUCACUAAAACCACACUGACUCCUCAUUCAGACCCACAGGAGACAAGAGGACUUGGAUGGAAGCCUGGCACCUCUAUUUGCAUUAUGAGUCUGUCACUUGCUUUUUUUUUUUUUUUUUUUUUGCAAUGGAGGCAUGCUAAUCCCUCGGGCACCGGCUACAUAAGCCUGGAGCCGCAUACCCAUCUCGUCCCCCUGCAGGGUUGACCACACAGAUAAGCAGAUAGGAAGGAUGUGUUAACAUUCUGUCUUGUCCCAGAUCCCCAAGGGAAGUUAAGGGUCUCGAGGGACAACAGAGUCUUAGAGAUCACUGAGAACUGUUAUUAUGAAGGAACCUGCACUCCUGAGGACGCCCUUGUCCCCUCGAGGAAUAAGGACUCCUUCUAAUCACUUUGUAGUACCAGUACUGAGGCAGCAUUAGCCGGACCACACUUGACACGCCCUGCUCAGCUCAGCAUAUCUCAGACACUGUGCCCAAUCCGUCUAUUUAAAUUUAAAGCUCACAUCCACGUCCCAAAGGCAGCCCUGAGGUGAGGCCACUGGGCCUCUUGUUCCUUUCCUCGGUGUGCACUGACUCAUUAUAUCUCUGCCUUCUGCUUCUCACUACUUCUAGUCUCUAUGGAUAGAGUUACCCAGGCAGCACAGCCUGGAUCUUUGGCAUUCCCAGACGUGGUCCUUUUACCCUAAAAUUUCACUCACAGAUCAGCCCAGUAAGGAUUCCCGAGGACCAUUGUGAGAAUCUGCUCUGGUAGGUGAUCUGCAGACCUCAGCUUCUCAUUGUCACAAAGAGUGGGGCAGGUAAACCGAAGCCACGCCUCUUGUCAAGACCAUCUCAUGGGCCUCAUCUUACAAUGAGCUACAUUUCAAGGCCAGGAAAGCUGACCUAGCAUUUUCACAGGAAGGUUACAUCUCUUCCCACUCUUCCUUCUGAGGCUAUGAAGGUGACUGGCGCUUGUAUAUCCACUGGCGCGGGUCUUAGGUCUCCCCAGGGGUAUGGAGUAGGGGAGGCUCCAGCCAUGGGUCCCUGCAGAGGAUCACGGGGACUCCAGAGCACAGCUUGGUACUACCUCUUCCUGAGGCUUGCCCGGUAUCUGUGGCGCCAGGAGAAAAGCGACUAGCAGCCAGAUCAAGGUGCUAGCAGCUAGGAAAGAGCUUUGAUUUGGAACUCUGCAAGGUGACGUGAGGUGCGUGCGGACUGGAUGCCGGGGUUAACAGUUUCCAUACUGCAGGCAAGAGGCACAGGUCAGGUAUCCAAGCUGGCUCAUGAGAGGAAAGUCCACGUGUUAGGGUGUAGGGGUUACAGAGGGACAGUUUUAGAUAGCGCUGAUGGGAAGAGGUGUACGCCAAGCCCUGAAGGAGACAGGCUCUGACAGGACCAGAGGGGUCUGUCCUUUGGAGCAUUAUAGUCAGGAGUUUCACCCAAAAGCUGACAGAAAAGGGAAACCCUCCCAUGGCCGAAGAGAAGUUAUUUGGAGGAGGUGGGGGUCCUGAGGACAUUACUCUCUUUCAUGUCUUCAUUUCAGACCUUUGCAAAUAAGAUCAUAAUUAAAACAUACAAGCAAUUAAAACCAGAGGGACUUGACUCUAACUAAGAAAAGCAGUUCCCUGUCCAGGCAGUCAGGAGGGCCAGCUUGGGCCUGUCUGCCCUGGCAGGCAGGCUGCAGAGGGGCGGGACUCCACCGCUGGGUGGUGGCCUUGCUGCUCUCUCUCAACUCUUGUCACCACAAGCCCUGUCCACACUGAAUGGCAGGAAGCUUCAUGGGAGGGUGGAGUUGUAACACACAGAACCAGUCACCUAAGCCCACAGCCCAGGUGACCAAGGACUGGGACUUACCCUAGAAUGCCGAUGGCAGAACUCAUUGGGUCGAGAGCAAUCAUCAAAACAGAGAAGCAGCAGCAAGGGUAGAAAAAGAUCAGCCAUCUGCCCCAUCCUGCUGUAGAUGCCUGGGGCAGCACCAUGGUGAGGGGAGGGUGGGAGGUGGGGUGGGGGAGGGGGGAGCAGGGGUGGGGCACAGCUUGUCACCUGAUCUUGGCUUCCACACUGGGUAACAGUGCCAAAGCAGCUAUGGUGACACUCAACAGCUGUAGCACCGCUAUCAGGAAAGCAGCUUUGACAGGGAUUGUCCAGUCAGCCGAUUAGACACAAGUCAAAGCAAAGGCCCCAAUGGCUCACACAGCGCCAUCCUAACAUCAUGUGAUCCUUACUUCACCCCAGAAGAAUUCUUUGAAGGGAAAAUGCCAGCGGAACCCAACAUUGUGAAACCAUACCGAUUUGGCAGGUGUUGGGGGGGGGAGUGGGGGGGGGGCUCUGCAUCACUACGGAGACCCGUGGGCCAGUCCAGAUCUCAAUCAACCUCACGCAUGCCCUACGCUGGGGUGUGUUCCCCUCAUGAAUCCACUCAGCCCCCACGCGCACCUUCUGGGGAGAGUCCUGUGCAUACAUAGGCUGCUGGCUGCAGUUGGCUGUACGCCUGCUCCAUUCCCCAAGGACAUUAUUAAUAGAAGUUUGUCCUGGGCCAGCACAGCCCUUGCAGAGGCAGGUGCCGGCCCUCUUCCUCACGUUGCUCCCCACCCGCCCGUAUGCAUGUUCUUAGCACAAUUCCAGCCAUCGUAUUUUUGGACCUGCUGCAGCAAGCAAUUCCAGCUUUGAGAUCUUUCAAUUCCUCUUUCAGGAAAACCCUGGGUCCCUCCGGAGGAAGACCAAAGAGGAGCCCCACCCCUCACCUCCAAUCCAAUAAAGGGACUGGCAGUCUUA